UUCUAGCAGUUUACUGGAGAUAGUGCUAGCUUCAGCUACAGAGAAGAUUAACAUGGCCCCUGCGCAAGGAUGACACGAAAGUUUGUGAAGCAGUUUGCU
ensembl:snRNA U6 U6 spliceosomal RNA